UCCUAUGGAAGAGUAAAGAAAGUGGUUUCUUGAGAAUGGAAUCUACUCCUAAUGAAGAUGCUGUGAA
rnacentral:pre_miRNA from 3 species